GGGGGGGGGGGGGGGGGGGGGGGGGGGGGGGGGGGGGGGGGGGGGGGGGGGGGGGGGGGGGGGGGGGGGGGGGGGGGGGGGGGGGGGGGCAGCCGCGGCCGUUGUGGCGACAGUCGGCGACCGGCGCCAUGGCGGAGCUGCCGCUGCCCGCCGGCCUCAACGCCAGCACCUUCCCCGCCAAGCUGUGGCGCCUGGCGAGCAGCCCCCGCGUCCGCUCCGUGCGCUGGGACAGCCGGGCCCAGGGGCUGCUCAUCGACCGCUCCCUGUUCGAGCGGGAGCUGCUCAGCCCGGGCGGCGCCCACGUGGCGGGCGGUGAAGGGGCGGGGCCGCCUCCGGACUCUUUCCAAGCCACGCACUUCGGCAGCUUCGUGCGCCAGCUCAACCUCUACGGCUUCCAAAAGGUGCCGGGCUGGGUUGGCUCAGCUGUGCCGGGCGAUGCCAGAGGCUGCCUCCACUACAGGAACCCAAACUUUCGCCGCGACCGCCCCGAGCUCCUGCUCCGCAUCCAGCGCCUGACCAGGGCCAACAGGCAGCGGCUGGCGGCGGGGCUGGAGGUGCGCAGCCGCCGGCCCGGAGGUGCGCAGCCGCCAGCCCAGCCGCUUCCAGCAGCUCCACACGGACAGGCCGCUGCUCACCUUCUCUGCCGGGCAGCCCCCCAGAGCCGCUCCCUCAUGCCAGAACCUCGCUGCUGCCUCACAUGAGGGUUCAGAGCUGCUUCCAGGCCCUUCCAGGCAAAGUGCAGGUCCUCAGGUGUCUGAGGUUUUCUUAGCAUCUCACAAGAAAGUGUUUGCCACAUCUGGACUUCAUGGGAUUUCAACAGAGGAACCAGGCACGUGCAAAUUUCAAGUCCAGCCUGAACUCAUCAUUCCCCUGGUUCGCAUGGACCUUAAGUGCUACCCUGAGCUCACUGUUCCACCAGUUCCCGUAAACCAUGACAGCACUUCUGUGGCCUCUCCAGAGAGCAGCAGCAGCAAAUCUUCAGAGCAGCACACCCCAGUCAAUGACCCAUCAGCCACUCCAGGCACUUCAGCUCCCAGUGCUCCAGCUGGCUAUGCUGGUUAUGCACCAUGGACAGCCCCCAGGUGGCUCUGGUAUACUCCUGGGGAAGAGGAAUUGCCACCACUGGAUCUGGACCUGGUGCUUGAGACACUGGAGGAGAUGCUUUCGACUUCCCCGUCUGCAAGGUCUCCCUCUGCUCAGGACACUGUUGCCCCUGAGUGCUCAGGAGGGGAGCCUGUGAACAAGGCUGCAGCAGGGGGAGUUUUGCCUGGCACUGAAAACUGCAGGAACAGUUCCCAGGAACCCAAGGAGCUUGGUAAGGACAGAGCCCAUAUUGGUUUAGAGAGGUGUGAGACAGCUGCUCUGAGCCUGCCUCUGACAGGAAGGGAGAUCAGAAGAGUUGAGUUCUUGUCUGCAGAGCUGGUGCUUCCCGGUGCCUUUAGUUCAGAUCCUGCACUGACAAAACCUCCCCGAGCCCUGCCCUCCACGCUUCUCCAGAGGCUCUGA
rnacentral:lncRNA from 1 species